GUACAUGAUUGCAACAAGCAUUCAAGCAGUAGUUCAUUUCAUGAAGCCUAAUGCCAAUAGCUCUACCUAUCAAGAACAACUAACAACUCAGAAUUGAUGGAAAUAUGUUGCUAAAAUAAAUACUAAAUGUUAAUCCAAACAUAGAUUUUCACAAUGCCUAAAAGCCAAAUUGAGGAGAAAAGAUAUGCCCCAACUUCAGUUAUCCCGAGAUAGAAAAAUGGCGAGGACUUUCCUCCCAAGGCAACUCCAAAUCCUAAACAUUCAAUGGAGACAACACUGAACCCUUACUACUAUGAAUCGAUGCCCCCACUCUCUGCAUUUACUGGUAUUACUGCCUUAUAAUGGAUGCUCAAAAUUACGCGUUUAGUGGUGAGCUUCCAAAAUGCCUAAACUGUUGCUGCAGCUGUAGACGGUGGUGUGGCCCCUGGCCUGGCCUACUGUCGUCAUUUGAUUCUGCAGCAUUGCAGCCACCAACAAGAGUUAGGCCGGCCUGCUGCAUUGUAAGCUUGUUUACAAUUGAUCAGUUGGAUCCACACUAACAUUAUUCCCACCAACACCACCACUUAAAUUACUGAAAAUUCUUUGCUGCCGCUGUAAAUAGAACCUGUACUUCUGCAAAUGGCUAGCAACAUUCUCUUUGGUAAGUCCAUCCACAUUCAUCAUCUGCAUUAUAGUUUCGAGCAUUGCAUUAUUGAUCCCCAAAUGAUUUACAGCAUCUGCAAAUCUAUGGAGUCCAAACAAGCCACGGACGUCGUAAUGUCCAAGUCAGAUAGUCCGACCUCACACCGAUUCUGGCCCCAGCUACUCUGCCAUCAAUAUUACACCCCACUCAUUUAUAUUUAGGAGAUUUUUCAUAGAUGUCACUAAAUUUGAAAUACACCAAAAGUUGUCAAUUUUACUAAUGGUGGUUACAAAUGUCCUUUUUUUUUUUUUUUUUUUUGGUGUGAAAGAUCCAAAUUACCCUUAAUGAGACCUUUUUAGGUUGUUCACUGUUAACAAAUCCUAACUUUCUUACCAUCUUUCCAUUCCUUCAUCAAGGAGAAAUUACUAUUGGAUUCAUCUUCCAUUUUGUGACGUUAAC
rnacentral:lncRNA from 1 species